GUGUCAGCAGCCGCGGUAAGACGAACCAUGCAAACGUUAUUCGGAUUCACUGGGCUUAAAGCGUGCGUAGGCGGCGAUGUUAGUCAGGUGUGAAAGCCCUCAGCCCAACUGAGGAAUUGCGCUUGAUACUGCAUUGCUAGAGAAUGAUAGAGGUGGGUGGAACUGAUGGUGGAGCGGUGAAAUGCGUUGAUAUCAUCAGGAACACCAGUGGCGAAGGCGACCCACUGGGUCAUUUCUGACGCUGAGGUACGAAAGCUAGGGUAGCGAACGGGAUUAGAAACCCCUGUAGUCC
rnacentral:rRNA from 1 species